UACGAAGGGGGGCUAGCGUUGUUCGGAAUCACUGGGCGUAAAGCGCACGUAGGCGGAUCUUUAAGUCAGGGGUGAAAUCCCGAGGCUCAACCUCGGAACUGCCUUUGAUACUGGGGAUCUCGAGUCCGGGAGAGGUGAGUGGAACUGCGAGUGUAGAGGUGAAAUUCGUAGAUAUUCGCAAGAACACCAGUGGCGAAGGCGGCUCACUGGCCCGGAACUGACGCUGAGGUGCGAAAGCGUGGGGA
rnacentral:rRNA from 1 species